GAGCUUGCUCCACCGGAAAAAGAAGAGUGGCGAACGGGUGAGUAACACGUGGGUAACCUGCCCAUCAGAAGGGGAUAACACUUGGAAACAGGUGCUAAUACCGUAUAACAAUCGAAACCGCAUGGUUUUGAUUUGAAAGGCGCUUUCGGGUGUCGCUGAUGGAUGGACCCGCGGUGCAUUAGCUAGUUGGUGAGGUAACGGCUCACCAAGGCCACGAUGCAUAGCCGACCUGAGAGGGUGAUCGGCCACAUUGGGACUGAGACACGGCCCAAACUCCUACGGGAGGCAGCAGUAGGGAAUCUUCGGCAAUGGACGAAAGUCUGACCGAGCAACGCCGCGUGAGUGAAGAAGGUUUUCGGAUCGUAAAACUCUGUUGUUAGAGAAGAACAAGGAUGAGAGUAACUGUUCAUCCCUUGACGGUAUCUAACCAGAAAGCCACGGCUAACUACGUGCCAGCAGCCGCGGUAAUACGUAGG
rnacentral:rRNA from 1 species